rnacentral:rRNA from 1 species
UACGAAGGGGGCUAGCGUUGUUCGGAAUUACUGGGUGUAAAGCGCGCGCAGGCGGUCUUCCAAGUCAGUGGUGAAAGCCCGGAGCUCAACUCCGGAACUGCCAUUGAAACUGUUGGACUUGAGUACGAGAGAGGUGAGUGGAAUUCCCAGUGUAGAGGUGAAAUUCGUAGAUAUUGGGAAGAACACCGGUGGCGAAGGCGGCUCACUGGCUCGUAACUGACGCUCAGGCGCGACAGCGUGGGGAUCAAACAGG